rnacentral:tRNA from 1 species
AUUAGGGUGGCAGAGCUCGGUAAUUGCAAAAGAUCUAAGACCUUUUAACCAGGGGUUCAAUCCCCCUCCCCAAUU